rnacentral:misc_RNA from 1 species
AACGGUCUAUACCUGCGGUACCUGCGGAGGGAUCAUUACCGAGUUAUCAACUCCCAAACCCCUGUGAACAUACCCGAACGUUGCCUCGGCGGGACCGCCCCGGCGCCCCUAGCGGCCCGGAACCAGGCGCCCGCCGGAGGACCCAAACUCUUGCUUUAAACAGUGGCAUACUCUCUAAGUCUCACAAACAAAAAAUAAAUCAAAACUUUUAGCAACGGAUCUCUAGAUCGGAAGAGCACA